UAUCAAUAUACCUUCUCCUAAUUGCAGAAGAUAUCAUGUUAUACUGGAAUUCACAUUUGGAUCAAGGCAAGUGGAACAGCCUUUAAGAGCUGGAAGAUGAAAGCUCCGAUUCCACACUUGAUUCUCUUAUACGCUACUUUUACUCAGAGUUUGAAGGUUGUGACCAAAAGAGGCUCCGGGACACAAAAUGGACUAAGAUGGAACGUGGGCCGUGUUGCAUGCUAUCCCAGACUCAGGCCUGAGGAAGACUCUACCAAGUGGAAUGCUCCUGGUCACUGUGGCAGGAGGAAGGGGAGUGCUAGAAAAUCUUGCAAUUUAAUUAAAUGCUAUCGUCCAGAAGUGAUGUACAACAUUUCUGUCCACAACUCUUUGGCCAGAAUUAUUCUCAUGAUCCUGCCAAGGGCAAGGUGGCAAAGAAUUACCAUUCUUUCAUGUGGCUGGGAGGGAAAAAAGAACCAGAUUGAGAAGAGCAUUAGAUAUCUCUGUCACAUCAGAGGAACAAAUUAG
rnacentral:lncRNA from 1 species